GGAGACUCAAAGCAGAAGCUCAUUGAUGUGCUACGAGACUCAAACUGUAAACUGAGUGUUGAUAAAGAUUCAAGAUUCCCUCAGGGGAGGAAGUCGCUCAGAUGAGUCUGUCUGGCCCUUCAGUUUAUCUUUCUAUUAAACUCAUUCAUAAUGA